GAUGAACGCUGGCGGCGUGCCUAACACAUGCAAGUCGAACGGACAUUUUUUGGAAAGUUCUUCGGAACCGGAAUCUAAAUGUUAGUGGCGGACGGGUGAGUAACGCGUGAGCAAUCUGCCUUUCAGAGGGGGAUAACAGCCGGAAACGGCUGCUAAUACCGCAUAAUGCAUUGGAUUCGCAUGUUUCUGAUGCCAAAGAUUUUAUCGCUGAAAGAUGAGCUCGCGUCUGAUUAGCUAGUUGGCGGGGUAACGGCCCACCAAGGCGACGAUCAGUAGCCGGACUGAGAGGUUGAACGGCCACAUUGGGACUGAGACACGGCCCAGACUCCUACGGGAGGCAGCAGUGGGGAAUAUUGCGCAAUGGGGGCAACCCUGACGCAGCAACGCCGCGUGAUUGAUGAAGGUCUUCGGAUUGUAAAAAUCUUUAAUCAGGGACGAAGAAAAUGACGGUACCUGAAGAAUAAGCUCCGGCUAACUACGUGCCAGCAGCCGCGGUAAUACGUAGGGAGCAAGCGUUAUCCGGAUUUACUGGGUGUAAAGGGCGUGUAGGCGGGCUUGCAAGUUGGAAGUGAAAUCUCGGGGCUUAACCCCGAAACUGCUUUCAAAACUGCGAGUCUUGAGUGAUGGAGAGGCAGGCGGAAUUCCCAGUGUAGCGGUGAAAUGCGUAGAUAUUGGGAGGAACACCAGUGGCGAAGGCGGCCUGCUGGACAUUAACUGACGCUGAGGCGCGAAAGCGUGGGGAGCAAACAGG
rnacentral:rRNA from 1 species